UACGUAGGGAGCAAGCGUUGUCCGGAUUCAUUGGGCGUAAAGAGCUCGUAGGCGGCUGUUCAAGUCGAACGUGAAAACUCGGAGCUCAACUCCGAGCCUGCGUUCGAUACUGGAUGGCUAGAGUCUGGUAGGGGGAUCUGGAAUUCCGAGUGUAGAGGUGAAAUUCGUAGAUAUUCGGAAGAACACCAGUGGCGAAGGCGGCUCACUGGCCCGUUACCGACGCUCAGGCGCGACAGCGUGGGGAGCAAACAGG
rnacentral:rRNA from 1 species